rnacentral:rRNA from 1 species
GGAAUCUUCGGCAAUGGGGGCAACCCUGACCGAGCAACGCCGCGUGAGUGAAGAAGGUUUUCGGAUCGUAAAGCUCUGUUGUAAGAGAAGAACGUGUGUGAGAGUGGAAAGUUCACACAGUGACGGUAACUUACCAGAAAGGGACGGCUAACUCCGUGCCAGCAGCCGCGGUAAUACGGAGGAUGCAAGCGUUAUCCGGAUUUAUUGGGUUUAAAGGGUGCGCAGGCGGCGCGUUAAGUCAGCGGUGAAAUCUCCCGGCUCAACCGGGGAACUGCCGUUGAUACUGGCGCGCUGGAGUACGGACGGCGCCGGCGGAAGGUGUCAUGUAGCGGUGAAAUGCUUAGAUAUGCCACAGAACACCGAUCGCGAAGGCAGCUGGCGAGGCCGGUACUGACGCUCAGGCACGAAAGCGUGGGGAUCAAACA